rnacentral:rRNA from 1 species
CCUACGGGGGGCUGCAGUAGGGAAUCUUCCGCAAUGGACGAAAGUCUGACGGAGCAACGCCGCGUGAGCGAAGAAGGCCUUCGGGUCGUAAAGCUCUGUUGUCAGGGAAGAACAAGUACCGGAGUAACUUCCGGUACCUUGACGGUACCUGACGAGAAAGCCACGUCUAACUACGUGCCAGCAGCCGCGGUAAUACGUAGGUGGCAAGCGUUGUCCGGAAUUAUUGGGCGUAAAGCGCGCGCAGGCGGUCCUUUAAGUCUGAUGUGAAAUCUUGCGGCUGAACCGCAAGCAGCCAUUGGAAAAUUGAGGAAUUGAGUGCAGGAGAUGGGAGUGUAAUUCCACGUGUAGCUGUGAACUGCGUGGAGAUGUGGAGCAACAGCAGUGGCGACGGCGGCUUCCCGGCCUGUAACUGACGCUGAGGCGCGAAAGCGUGAGGAGCAAACAGGAUUAGAUACCCCUGUAGUC